UUAAACACAAGUACAAAACUGUGAUCACAUUUUUCUAGGGUAAAAACAAAUUAAGGACACUCAUUACCGCACCCCCAAAAAGUCUCAGAUUUAAGCGGGAAGGGGGAAACGCUGGUUGUUUUGGUGUUUGGGGUGCAGAUGAUAGAGGGUCAAGUGCAGUGUUGUCCUGGCCCUGAUUUGUCCUUUUGACGAAACAUUAGGAGGACACAGGCGAGAAUAUGAGACAGGAAGAAGAAGCAGACAAUGAAGGAGCAGAAGAAGAAGCAUUGAAAAUCAUAAAACACAACAACGCACAACGAGUGCAGAUGGAGGCAGAGGUGGUAGGUGGGAGGUGGGUGGACAGUUGACCGGGAUGGACGCGCAGCAAGGCACUGAAAAAUAAAUAAGAUGCCCAGAAUGGAAUGGACCGUCAGUCAGUCAGUCAGCGACCGCUGCAAAGAUGACGAGAGAAGAAGUUGUUGUUGACGACGACGACGGCAACGACGAUGAUGAAGGCAAAAGAAAAGACAGGACAGCACAGGACAACAGCAAGGACGAACAGCUGACGCCAGGAGCAACUGGCCGAUAGACUAACCCAUCAUCCAGUCAUAUAUCAAGGGGUCAAAAGCAGCUGCUUUAAUGUCCUGUGCAUUUUUCACAUAUACACGUAACCUAUGCCAAGUUAUCACAACCUCACUCUCAGUCUAUCUCUCUCUUACUCUCUCUCUCUCUCUCUCUCUCCAUCUCUCUCUUUCGUUCUCUCAAUCUAUCUCUUUGGCGUAAUCCUUUGUCCCAGCAGCUAAACUAAACUCCCCGAGGCAAAUUUUUCUUGAUUUCCCAACGUCUUGGCUGUCGCAAGUUUAAAGAAUUAUUGCAUCAUUUAUAGUUUGGGUUUGGUUUGAGAAAGCGGGGCAGAUGUUGGGUCAAACUCGUGGCUUGACAGACAGCCAGAGUUUUACAGGACAGCAGCCAGCAGCAGUGAUGAUAGAGCAUCAAUAAAACUUGAAGCUCAG